rnacentral:lncRNA from 1 species
UUUGUUUAAGUGAGAAACAUAGGUGGUAAUGAAACUUCUUUUGUGUUGUUUUUCGGUGGAUGCCGAUGGAGACACGAGGGUAGUCGGAGAGAAAUAGGGGCGGUGAAGGAUGGUUGGUUAUGAUGUUUUUGUUGUUUCGCGGUUUCGAAUCUCGUGUGAUGGAGAAGCUGAAUAAAAUAUGUGUGUUAUUGUGUUUGUUUGGGGGUGAAUAGUGUGUUUUGAUUGUUGUUUGUGCAGGAGGAUGAGGAAAGUUAUGAUAGGUGAUGCAGAUGAAUGAGAUGGAGUUUAUGGUUACUAUAUAUGUGAAGAAGAAAAAUGAUCAAAACGUGGAAUCUCAAUU